GGCCCCGUGGCUCAACUGGAUAGAGCAAUCCCCUCCUAAGGGAUAGGUUGGUGGUUCGAAUCCACUCGGGGUCACCA
rnacentral:tRNA from 1 species